AUUUAUAUAGUUUAUAAAAACAUUACAUUUUCACUGUAAAAAUAAAAGAUUACUUUUUAUAAAUA
rnacentral:tRNA from 1 species